GACAAAUCUAAGUGUACUGUUUGCUGU
rnacentral:sRNA from 1 species